rnacentral:rRNA from 1 species
AUUGAACGCUGGCGGCAGGCCUAACACAUGCAAGUCGAGCGGAGCGGCGGACGGGUGAGUAAUGCCUAGGUAUCUGCCUGGUAGUGGGGGAUCACGUCCGGAAACGGGCGAUAAUACCGCAUACUAUCAGAUGAGCCUAGGGCGGAUUAGCUAGUUGGUGGGGUAAAGGCCUACCAAGGCGACGAUCCGUAGCUGGUCUGAGAGGAUGAUCAGGCACACUGGAACUGAGACACGGUCCAGACUCCUACGGGAGGCAGCAGUGGGGAAUAUUGCACAAUGGGCGCAAGCCUGAUGCAGCCAUGCCGCGUGUAUGAAGAAGGCCUUCGGGUUGUAAAGUACUUUCAGCAGGGAGGCGUUACCCACAGAAGAAGCACCGGCUAACUUCGUGCCAGCAGCCGCGGUAAUUC